AGUGUGCUUUUAAAUAUAAUGAAUUUAAUUAACCUUUAAUUUUUAAGUGUACAAGUUUACAUCUUAUGAAAUUAUUUUGAUUUUUUUAAAUAUAGAUCAGAUCAUCUAACUGAUGACUCAAUAGAUCGAUCCCUAACUCAAUAAUUGAAUUCGUUGAUUGAAUCCAUAAUUUAAAUCGAUAAUUUAUCCAAAUCUAAUAAGAUUAGUUCAAAGAUGGAUGUAGACAUCCGGGGUCAUCUUGGGUCAGAUUCCCAUAACCCUAUUUAAUUUGGGCCAUAUAUUGCAUAAACAGAAUAAAUAAAUAAAUUUAAAAAAAGCCUGGAGGUAAUAAAAAAUUAAAGGGAAAGAGGGAACUGCAUCUGGUCACUUACAUAACGUUCGUCUGUACCAUCAAAUAUUCCAGCACCUGCAGAGGCAAAGCUAACACCAUCCAUGAAGGAUGCAUUGUUUUUGUUGGCCUUUGAUGUUAUAAGGGACAGGUAAGGUGGUGAAGUUGGAAAACCCAAUUUCUCAGCUGCAACCCACACAAUCAUUCUAUUAAAAAAUGUCUCUAUAUUCUAUAUAUACAACUGUUUGAAGUGGCAUAUUAAUAGCUAGAGUGAAUUUGGAUUCACUUACCAACAAAAUCUGCAGCAUUCUUGCCGUUGCUAAAUCUCCCUGUUGGUUUGUGUGUAGGAAAAUCAACACCAUAGUGACGAUGAUUUGCCUUAGCAAUGGAAAGAGUCAAGUAAUUGUUGUUGCCCACAUCAACAAGUGAGUCUCCAAACACAUAAACGGCAGAAACCAUUUCAGCCUUUGAGGAACCAAAGCUGAAUAAGACGAAGA
rnacentral:lncRNA from 1 species